rnacentral:rRNA from 1 species
GACGAACGCUGGCGGCGUGCUUAACACAUGCAAGUCGAGCGGUAAGGCCCUUCGGGUACACGAGCGGCGAACGGGUGAGUAACACGUGGGUAAUCUGCCCUGCACUCUGGGAUAAGCCUUGGAAACGAGGUCUAAUACCGGAUACGACUCCUCCACGCAUGUGGUGGGGUGGAAAGUUCCGGCGGUGCAGGAUGAACCCGCGGCCUAUCAGCUUGUUGGUGGGGUAAUGGCCUACCAAGGCGACGACGGGUAGCCGGCCUGAGAGGGCGACCGGCCACACUGGGACUGAGACACGGCCCAGACUCCUACGGGAGGCAGCAGUGGGGAAUAUUGCGCAAUGGGCGAAAGCCUGACGCAGCGACGCCGCGUGAGGGAUGACGGCCUUCGGUUGUUAACC